GACGAACGCUGGCGGCGUGCUUAACACAUGCAAGUCGAGCGGAGCGGCGAACGGGUGAGUAUCGCGUGAGUAACUGCCCCCCUCUCUGGGAUAACAGUUGGAAACGGCUCCCAAUACCGGCUUGUGGGGUAUGACUCGCGUUCUAUCAGCUUGUUGGUGGGGUAGUGGCCUACCAAGGCGACGACGGGUAGCCGGCCUGGGAGGGCGAACGGCCACAUUGGGCUGAGAUACGGCCCAGAGUCCAACGGGGGGCAGCGGGGGAGAAUAUUGCACAAUGGGGGAGACCCUGAUGCAGCAACGCGCGUGCGGGAUGACGGCCUUCGGGUUGGAAACCGCUUUCAGCCAUGACGCGGUAGUGGCAGAAGAAGCACCGGCUAACUACGUGCCAGCCGCCGCGGUAAUAC
rnacentral:rRNA from 1 species